CAUCACCUCUAGCAUAUCAAGUAUUAGAGGCACUGCCUGCCCAGUGACUAACGUUAAACGGCCGCGGUAUCCUGACCGUGCAAAGGUAGCAUAAUCACUUGUUCCUUAAUUAGGGACUGGAAUGAACGGCUUGACGAGGGUUUAACUGUCUCUUAUUUCUAAUCAGUGAAAUUGACCUCCCCGUGAAGAGGCGGGGAUAACAAAAUAAGACGAGAAGACCCUAUGGAGCUUUAAUUUACUAGUUUAAUUCCAACAAUAAACAACCUAUUGGCUCAACACACAAAAAUGUAAACUAGUAAUUUCGGUUGGGGUGACCUCGGAGCAUAAAAAAACCUCCGAAUGAUUUUAACUAAGACAUACAAGUCUAAGUAACCACAUAUCUUAUUGACCCAAAACUUUUUGAUCAACGGACCAAGUUACCCUAGGGAUAACAGCGCAAUCCUAUUCAAGAGUCCAUAUCGACAAUUAGGGUUUACGACCUCGAUGUUGGAUCAGGACAUCCCAAUGGUGCAGAAGCUAUUAAUGGUUCGUUUGUUCAACGAUUAAAGUCCUACGUGAUCA
rnacentral:rRNA from 1 species